GAAGGAGUGAUGGGUCAGUAGAAGAGCAUCUGAUUUCCAUGCAGAAGGUCCCAGGUUCAAUCCCUGGCAUCUUCA
rnacentral:tRNA from 1 species